rfam:Lottia gigantea unplaced genomic scaffold LOTGIsca_1, whole genome shotgun sequence.
GGCCUUUUAGCUCAGUCGGUUAGAGCACCGUGCUAAUAACGCGGAUGUCAUGGGUUCGAGCCCAAUAGAUGCCA